rnacentral:rRNA from 1 species
UACGUAGGGGGCAAGCGUUGUCCGGAUUUAUUGGGCGUAAAGAGCGUGUAGGCGGCCAAGCAGGUCAGCUGUGAAAACUCGAAGCUCAACCUCGAGACGUCGGUUGAAACCGCUUGGCUAGAGUCCGGAAGAGGAGAGUGGAAUUCCCGGUGUAGCGGUGAAAUGCGCAGAUAUCGGGAAGAACACCCGUGGCGAAGGCGGCUCUCUGGGACGGUACUGACGCUGAGACGCGAAAGCGUGGGGAGCGAACAGG